rnacentral:lncRNA from 1 species
AAAGAGAUUAAGAAAUAAUAAGAAUUACAAACCGAUUUGUACAAAUUCCUACAAAUUACACAUACUAAGAGGGAGAAGAUAGAUUAAUGUCAAAUGUGACAAGGUCCAUUAAAAACAGUAAUUAAAACACAUUCCCAAGGUUCAAACAAUUUGAUUUUAGCGCCUUAUCUCAUAGCUCAAUUAUCGUUUAAGGCAUAAGUCCAUAGUCAUCCUUUUCUAACUACUUAAUCACAUUAAAUAAUCAAAAUGGAAUGCAACAUGAACAUUUAGAUUUAGUGCAUAUGGGCAUAAUAGAAUUAUGAGUUUAAGCAACUAACAAAAUUAAAAUCAAUUAUUUUAACUUUCUAGUUAGUAGGGGCCUAAAUGAAAAUAAGAAAAAGUUAGGGGUCAAACCGUAAAUACUCAAAAGUAUAAAAUAUCUUUUUCCAAAUUACAAAAGACCCCCCAAGUGGAUAAAUCCACUAGGGUGGCCGGCCACAUUAAUGGGAAGUCUCACCCAUCUUGCUUUAAUUCAAUGCAAGGUAGAAAAAUCCAAAUUUGCAUGUCACUUGGUUUUGGUUUAAAUGAUUUUAAUGAAAAAGGUGAUGGAAAUCUCCUAGACAAGUCUAGGGUUUUAUAAGUUUUAAUAUGGUUAUGGAUGGUAAGAACAUCAUCCAAAACCAUAAAACUAUGCAUGAAAACCAAAUAAAACCAUUUUCACCCAAAACCAAACUAUGAACACCAAGAACAAAACCAUGAACACUUUUUCAAGAUUUGUGUAUUCUUGGUGAUUUUUCAAACCCAAAAACUAAAGUGACAAGGUUUCUACUUUCUAGCUUUAAAAUGAUGUGUGAGUGUCUUACAAUAAAACACAAACACAUGCCCAAAAAACCCCAAAACCGUGCCAACCAUAAAGAACAAAACCCCAAAAUUUUGUUCAUGACUUAUUCUUCAUUUAUGCAUACAAAACAACUUUUACAUGCAUAUCUUUUCAACUCUUGAUUUAUAUUUUUCAACCAUUGAAAAACAAAAGAUAAACAUACUUUAAAUGAAGAAAUAAUAUCUCAAACUAGUUCAAAACUCAAUUUUCAUUCAUGCAUACAAAACAUCUUUUUUGCAUACAUAUCUUUCUCAACUAUUGACUAACAUUUUUCAACUAUUGAAAAACAAAAGAUAAACUUAUUUUGAAUGAACCAAUAAUUAUGUCAUACAUAAUAUUAAUACCCAUAUGCAUAAAAUCCAAAAGGACACAUUAUACAUAAACCUUUGGCUCUGAUACCACUUGAAGGGAAAAUUAUGAGAUUAACACAUGGGAUUUCUAAAUGACUAGCAUGCAUAUACAAUUCAAAAUUUAUAUACAUGAGCAACGGAAGCAAUUUAUCAAUAAUAUCAAAGCUAUAGUCAUGCAAAUCCCCUUCAAGGUUCAUAGGUUUAUAUAUAAUGCAUCAAAACAUUUUAUAAAAGAACAAAGUGAAAGUUUAGUCUUAUACCUCUUGAUCUAGACUUGAGACCAAGGAUGGACCACCUCCAAGCCCUUUGUUCCUUGAAGUCCUUGAGCCUAGCCUCCCUCCUUGCCUCCUCCACUUUGUUAGUAAGAGUGCUCCAAGGUUCUCCUUUAGUCUCUAAAGGAGAAGACCUCUAAAGAUCCACACCCACUAGUGUAGUGAGAUGGAUGGAGGAAUAACCAAAAGGGUGAAAGAUUGUUAGCUAAAGCACCCUCUAGGUGGCCGGCCUUUGUGGUUUUAGAGAGCUAUUUUCUUUUGCCUCUUUGUUGUUCAAAAAAACACACAAAAAACCCUAAUGAACUUUGUGCUAUAAAGUUCCUUAUAUAGACAAAAAGAAACCUAGUCAACAACUUGACUAAAUAUCUCUCCCAAACCCUUUAAGUGGCCGGCCCUUUAGUGUUUGGUUUGGGCUUUGGGCUUUUAUUAUUUCAAGUCAUCCUAUGCUUGAAUAAAAGCCCAAUGGGUUUAGGCCCAAUGGGCCUAAUUAAACCCGAACGUUUCUUUAAGCCCAAAACGAUCUUUUAUCGCUUUUAUGAUUUCUUUAGACUUUCUAAAUUAAUCACAACACUUAAUUAAUCCAAUUAAUUAUUUCCAUCAUCCAUUAAUUACUCACUACAAGAGUGUAUCGGUGUACAAUCAUUUUAGGUUUUAAUUAGCAAGGUAGUGAGGUGAUUGACAUCAAUCCAAUUGAUUAUAUUUAAUCCAAUCACUUAGUGAAUUAAAA